GUUUGAUCAUGGCUCAGGAUGAACGCUAGCGGUAUGCUUAACACAUGCAAGUCGAACGGAAAAGAAAUUUUUAGUGGCAUACGGGUGAGUAAUACGUGAGAAUUUACCUUUAGGAAGAGGAUAACCUUUAGAAAUAUAGGCUAAAACUCUAUAUGCCAAAGAAUUUGGUCAAAAAAGUAAUUUGCCUAAAGAGAAGCUCGCGCCUGAUUAGCUUGUUGGUGGGGUAAUGGCUUACCAAGGCGAUGAUCAGUAGUUGAUCUGAGAGGAUGAUCAGCCACAUUGAAACUGAGAUACGGUCCAAACUUCUACGGAAGGCAGCAGUGAGGAAUUUUCUGCAAUGGGCGAAAGCCUGACAGAGCAAUACCGCGUGAAGGAUUAGAAGGCCUGUGGGUUGUAAACUUCUUUUCUCAAGGAAGAAAAACUGACGUUACUUGAGGAAUAAGUAUCGGCUAACCCUGUGCCAGCAGCCGCGGUAAUACAGGGGAUGCAAGCGUUAUCCGGAAUUAUUGGGCGUAAAGAGUUUGUAGGUUGAUAUAUAAGUCUUUUGUUAAAUCUUUGAGCUUAACUCAAAAUAGGCAAAAGAAACUAUCUAUCUCGAGUUUUGUAGAGGUUAAGGGAAUUUUCAGUGGAGCGGUGAAAUGCGUAGAUAUUGAAAGGAACACCAAAAGCGAAGGCACUUAACUGGGCAAAUACUGACACUGAGAAACGAAAGCUAAAGGGAGCAAAUAGGAUUAGAGACCCUAGUAGUCUUAGCUGUAAACGAUGAAUACUAGAUGUUGUGUUUUUAAAAUACAGUGUCGUAGCUAACGCAUUAAGUAUUCCGCCUGGGAAGUACGCUCGCAAGGGUGAAACUCAAAGGAAUUGACGGGGCCCGCACAAGCGGUGGAACAUGUGGUUUAAUUCGAUGCA
rnacentral:rRNA from 1 species